CGACCCCUAGUCAUGCCGGACUACCCGCUGAGUUUAAGCAUA
rnacentral:rRNA from 1 species